GACGUAGGGCGCGAGCGUUGUUCGGAUUUACUGGGCGUAAAGGGCGCGUAGGCGGCGCAACAAGUCACUUGUGAAAUCUCCGGGCUUAACCCGGAGCGGCCAAGUGAUACUGUCGUGCUAGAGUGCGGAAGGGGCUACUGGAAUUCUCGGUGUAGCGGUGAAAUGCGUAGAUAUCGAGAGGAACACCUGCGGCGAAGGCGGGUAGCUGGGCCGACACUGACGCUGAGGCGCGAAAGCCAGGGGAGCGAACGGG
rnacentral:rRNA from 1 species